rnacentral:rRNA from 1 species
GAUGAACGCUGGCGGCGUGCCUAAUACAUGCAAGUCGAGCGAAUGGAUUAAGAGCUUGCUCUUAUGAAGUUAGCGGCGGACGGGUGAGUAACACGUGGGUAACCCGCCCAUAAGACUGGGAUAACUCCGGGAAACCGGGGCUAAUACCGGAUAACAUUUUGAACCGCAUGGUUCGAAAUUGAAAGGCGGCUUCGGCUGUCACUUAUGGAUGGACCCGCGUCGCAUUAGCUAGUUGGUGAGGUAACGGCUCACCAAGGCAACGAUGCGUAGCCGACCUGAGAGGGUGAUCUGCCACACUGGGACUGAGACACGGCGCAGACGCCUACGGGAGGCAGCAGUAGGGAAUCUUCCGCAAUGGACGAAAGUCUGACGGAGCAACGCCGCGUGAGUGAUGAAGGCUUUCGGGUCGUAAAACUCUGUUGUUAGGGAAGAACAAGUGCUAGUUGAAUAAGCUGGCACCUUGACGGUACCUAACCAGAAAGCCACGGCUAACUACGUGCCAGCCGCCGCGGUAA